rnacentral:rRNA from 1 species
GAUGAACGCUAGCGGCAGGCUUAAUACAUGCAAGUCGAGGGGCAGCAGGUCUGUAGCAAUACAGAUGCUGGCGACCGGCAAACGGGUGCGGAACACGUACAGAACCUUCCUUCGAGUGGGAGAUAGCCCAGGGAAACUUGGAGUAAUACCCCAUAGGAUAGUAGAGUGGCAUCACUUAGCUAUUAAAGAUUCAUCGCUCGAAGAUGGGUGUGCGGCUGAUUAGAUAGUUGGCGGGGUAACGGCCCACCAAGUCUACGAUCAGUAGCUGAUGUGAGAGCAUGAUCAGCCACACGGGCACUGAGACACGGGCCCGACUCCUACGGGAGGCAGCAGUAAGGAAUAUUGGACAAUGGACGCAAGUCUGAUCCAGCCAUGCCGCGUGAAGGAUUAAGGUCCUCUGGAUUGUAAACUUCUUUUAUAAGGGACGAAAAAAGGUCUUUCUAGAUCGUCUGACGGUACCUUAUGAAUAAGCACCGGCUAACUCCGUGCCAGCAGCCGCGGUAACAC